rnacentral:sRNA from 1 species
AAGCCUAACGGAUUAGGUAUCUUCAGGAAGAAGAUUUGAUAACACAGGAUGGGUUAUCAGCAAGGAAGUUGUACUCUAGGAAGAGUUGCUUAUCAGGAUGAUAAGGUCAAGGACACCGCUAGGAAGGCGAUGAAUUGGAUAGGUUAAUGGAGUUAACCAAGUCAAGGAACGAUGCAGGGAGCAUACGUUACCUUAUUUAAAUAUAAAUAAGAAACAACGUUGGUAGCAGGACGGCUACGAAAAAGAACAGACCCCGUUUGGUGAAAACCAAGCGGGGUUUAUCUUUU